rnacentral:rRNA from 1 species
UACGGAGGGUGCAAGCGUUAUCCGGAUUCACUGGGUUUAAAGGGUGCGUAGGUGGGUUGAUAAGUCAGUGGUGAAAUCCCCGAGCCUUAACUUGGGAACUGCCAUUGAUACUAUUGAUCUUGAAUACCGUGGAGGUCAGCGGAAUAUGUCAUGUAGCGGUGAAAUGCUUAGAUAUGACAUAGAACACCAAUUGCGAAGGCAGCUGGCUACGCGAAUAUUGACACUGAUGCACGAAAGCGUGGGAAUCAAACAGG